rnacentral:misc_RNA from 1 species
UAAAUGCGAUAAGUAAUGUGAAUUGCAGAAUUCAGUGAAUCAUCGAAUCUUUGAACGCACCUUGCGCUCCUUGGUAUUCCUUGGAGCAUGCCUGUUUCAGUAUCAUGAAAUCUUCAAAGUAAAUCUUUUGUUAACUCAAUUGGUUUCUACUUUGGUAUUGGAGGUCUUUGCAGCUUCACACCUGCUCCUCUUUGUUCAUUAGCUGGAUCUCAGUGUUAUGCUUGGUUCCACUCGGCGUGAUAAGUUAUCUAUCGCUGAGGACACUGUAAAAGGUGGCCAAGGUAAAUGCAGAUGAACCGCUUCUAAUAGUCCAUUGACUUGGACAAUACUUUUAUGAUCUGAUCUCAAAUCAGGUAGGACUACCCGCUGAACUUAAGC